rnacentral:lncRNA from 1 species
CCAGUUCACAAUGAUCUGUUGCUAGAUGAGACAUAUCGGAUCUUUGUGCUCGCCUGCUUGAAGUUCAAUGGCGCUACUGGAAGCUUAUGGACUGAUUCUAGAUAUAGUCUGUUUAAAUACUGAAGCAAAGAAUGUGGUUCCAUGUGGAACAUGUAAACAUUUGUUUGGGUGCAAAAGAACAUGUUAACGGUCCUCACAAGCUGUCAACUUCUGGCACCAUAUGC